rnacentral:rRNA from 1 species
UACGGAGGGUGCAAGCAUUGAUCGGAAUUACUGGGCGUAAAGGGCGCGUAGGCGGUCUGAAAAGUCGGAUGUGAAAUUCCGGGGCUCAACCCCGGAGCUGCAUUUGAAACUUUUAGACUAGAGUAUAGUGAGGGUAAACGGAAUUCCACGUGUAGCGGUGAAAUGCGUAGAUAUGUGGAAGAACACCGGUGGUGAAGACGGUUUACUGUGCUAUAACUGACGCUGAGGCGCGAAAGCUAGGGGAGCAAACGGG